rnacentral:lncRNA from 10 species
UUUGGGGGUUGGGUGUACAAGCCCCAACUGGGCCCCAAGUCCCAUAAAUAGCUUUGGAUUCCAACAUACAAGCAUUUGACGCAGCGAGGUGCUGCCGACUUGCUCUGUGACUUGGAGCAAGUCAUUUAGCCUCUCUGGGCCUGGUGUCCUCAUCUGCAGAAUGGAGAUGAUAAUAUCUACUUCACAAAGGUGUGAAGGCCCUGUGAGACACCGCAUGUGGAUUUCCUCGACAUUGUUUGCCCAUCGUAACUAAACUCAGCAUAAUUAUGGCCUGAGGAACUUAAAAAAUGCACAUUCCCAGGUCCUGGCUUUCAGUCUCUGAACUACAUUUUUUUUUUUUUUGAGACAGAGUCUCAUUCUGUCAUCCAGGCUGGAGUGCAGUGGCGUGAUCUCAGCUCACUGCAACCUCUGCCUCUCAGCUUCAAGCGACUCUUGUGCCUCAGCCUCCCAAGUAGGUGGGGCUACAGGUAUGCACUGCCACGCCUAGCUAAUUUUUGUAUUUUUAGUAGAGAUAGGGAUUUUGUCAUGUUGGCCAGCCUGGUGUCGAACUUCUGGCCUCGAGUGAUCUGCCUGCCUCGGCCUCCCAAAGUGUUGGGAUUACAGGUGUGAGCCACCGUACCUGGCCAGAACUACAUUUUGAGAAAUACUGGUUUUUGUGGCAAGAGACACAGACCUAGGUUCAAGUACUAUAAUUAGCUGUGUGACCUU